ACAUAUAAAAGAAUAAUAAGAAAAAGAAUAAUCAAUCACCACAAAGUUAGCAAAGCUUAUAAGUCAUAGAUGAUGUCAUCCAAGCAAGUUAAACAAUAAAGACAAAAAAUUAUAUAUUUAUCUUUUCCUUUUGAGUUAUUGGAGCAAGAAAGGGUAGCCAAAACUCAAAAUUUGGAAUAGGUUUUUUUUCCUAUUGAAAAUGUCUGGAAAAUUAAGGAAGAAGAAAUUGGUUCUCUGGCCUUUGAAAAUGUAAAAGGAAACAAUUACAUUGUGCUCUCGAAAGUGAUUCUAAUUUUUUACAUUAAAUAAUGGAAGUGAUUCUAACAAGACAUUGGAGGAAGUCACCAGAGAAGAUCUCAAAUAAACCUUUUUAGCUAUUCUCAACUCUUUUCUUGGCCAUUGGCCAUUAUUAUUGCUAGAAAAUGGGUAUACUUUCAGAAAAUAUAGAAAUGGAGAAGAAAUCAAAAAAUUAAAAAUGCAGGUGGUAUUUGACAAAAUAAUUUGAAAAAAAAAAAAAAACUAACACGGCGAAGAGAGGCAAAGGGAAGUGUGGCUAAAGAAGAGAGGGGUGUUCAGGGUAUUAGGUUGAAUGUUUUCAUUAGGCCUGGCCCAAUUUUUUUAACUGUAUUAGUAGGGUUUUAAACCCAACAAAAGACAAAACUAACACAGAAGUCUCCAAUUAGGGUUUCUUCUCUGAUUUCCUCUCCAUGCUACUCCCUUUCUUACUUCUCCAUGUCGCUGCCCCACCUUUUCCACCAUACCCAUUCCACUUCCACCAGCCGUUAUACAAAAAGCGGCUGCCAUGGGCCACCAUGAGAAACCUGAUUCACCACCACCUAGUUGGGGAGGCAGGUUGCAAAACCGCCAUCAAUUUCUGCCAUGAGACUGCAUAACCGAGUUUUAAUAACACUGUUUCUAGCACCACAAUGGAAUUGUACACCAUUUACAUAAACUGAGCUUCUGGCAUUUCGUUUUUUUACAUCAAGUAACGUUGACAUAUAUUAGCGCAGGUGAAUAAUAUUGCCACAAAAAUUCGUACUUCAAACAGUAAUGACCUAUAUUAUACAUCAUUAAGUUCAAUAUGAAAAAAAAGACAUUCAAAUCUACCAAACUAAGUGGAACACUACAAUGUUGAGAUGAUUACAAUAUUAAUAAUGUUAUUGUGUUAGGCUUGUACUAGUUGAACUACACUUGAACUAGACAAGAUCAUUAGUUCCUUCGAUG
rnacentral:lncRNA from 1 species